UUGCGUGGGGGCCUAAUACUGCAAGUCGAGCGGGACAGAUGGGAGCUUGCUCCCUGAUGUCAGCGGCGGACGGGUGAGUAACACGUGGGUAACCUGCCUGUAAGACUGGGUAUAACUCCGGGAAACCGGGGCUAAUACCGGAUGCUUGAUUGAACCGCAUGGUUCAAUUAUAAAAGGUGGCUUCUGCUACCACUUACAGAUGGACCCGCGGCGCAUUAACUAAUUGGUGAGGUAACGGCUCACCAAGGGGACCAUGCGUAACCCACCUGAAAAGGUGAUCGGCCACACUGGGACUGAAACACGGCCCAAACUCCUACGGGAGGGAACAAUAAGGAAUCUUCCGCAAUGGACGAAAGUCUGACGGAACAACGCCCCGGGAGUGAUGAAGGUUUUCGGAUCGUAAAACUCUUUUGUUAGGGAAAAACAAAUACCGUUCCAAUAAGGCGGUACCUUGAAGGGACCUAACCAAAAAGCCACGGGUAAAUACGUGCCAACAACCGGGGUAAUACCUAAGGGGGAAGCGUUUUCCGGAAUUAUUGGGCGUAAAGGGGGCGCAAGCCGUUUCUUAAGUCUGAUGUCAAAACCCCCAGCUCAACCCGCGAGGGGCAUUUGAAACUGGGGAACUUGAAUGCAAAAGAGGAGAAUGGCAUUCCCCCUUUAACCGCAAAAUUUAUAGAGAUGGCGAACAAGGCCACUGGCCAAGGUCACUCCCCAGGCUUUUACUGACCCUUAGGCGCUAAAAACUGGAGAGGCACCUUGGUACAUGGCGUCCUACCCACCCCCCCAAAUUUAACGGCUCA
rnacentral:rRNA from 1 species